AAGCAGUGAUGAGUCUAUCCCGAACCUGAGUCUUUGAUGACAAAAACUAUGGAUCUGACUGCUGAGCU
rnacentral:snoRNA from 1 species